rnacentral:lncRNA from 1 species
CGCAGUGGGUCAGGAGAGCCCGGAAGCGGCGGCAUGAGGUGCGGGGGAGCCGGCGGGAUCACGCCCUGGCGCCGUCGCGUCGCUCCCUGGUCGCCCACGUGCCGCCGAGCCGGCUAGUCAGACAGGGAGGCCUGGAGGUAGCCCGCGGUGAGGCGCCGUUUGCUGAGCUUCUCAGCUCCCUUUUGGAGAGCGGGACGGAAGAGAAAGCUUCGUCGCUCUGCCGUUACCCCCGGAGAGGCCUAGACGACCUGGAAGACCCCCGUCUUCCCUGAGACUGUUUUACAACCGGAAGUGAAGGAGCAGCCUCCGUCGCCAGGUUCGCUUCCCGACUCCGCUGACAGUGGGAACUUGAGCGCCGCGUUGUGUCCGUGAAAUGGAAAAGGAGGCCACGUUUUCACGAGACGCGAGCGUAGCGUGUACUUUUUCAAGCCUACAAGAGAUUUGCUUGGACCUGUCACUGGAUGUCACUUUUAUCCUGAUUGGGAGAAUCGAUCAAGAUGAUUUUCUAGAGUAGCCUGUUGUGAAGUGAAGAGCCUAAUAGGAAAAGGUCCUAACUGCUUAUUUUUCCUGCAAAAUGUGACCUUCAUCAGGGUCAUAGUCCCUGAGAACACAAAGAUAAAUGCCAACAUCCUUUUAUCUUUUGAGAGAGGGUGAUCUGCUCAGUGUCCAGGUACUAAUUAAAUUACAAAAUGUAAAUAGAAUUUAAUUGGUGGAAACUCAGAGGAAACUCUAUCCUAAACAAAUCUAGAUUUUUUGAUGAAUUAGCUUGGUGGGAUAAAAAGAAAGAGUAAAUAGGAUUUAGGUUCAGAUUCCUCUAGGUUAGAUUUGCUGUGUUGUUACACUCAAAUGAAUAACUUGAAGAAGUGUAUAAUAAAGAGAGAAUGUCAUUUGGGGACUGAGAACAUUUGGGAGGAGUAAGCAAGGGUUGUGAAUGAACAUUUAAUGUAUCCUUUGUUAUCUGACGUUCUCAUUGGACAAAUUUUGAUUUGGGAUUAAAUAUUUUUUUUAAGAUUUUAUUUAUUAUUCAUGAGAGACACAGAGAGAGAGAGAGAGGCAGAGACACAGGCAGAGAGAGAAGCAGGCUCCACGCAGGGAGCCCGAUGUGGGAUUCGAUCCCGGGGCUCCAG